UGGGGAAUUUUGGACAAUGGGCGAAAGCCUGAUCCAGCAAUGCCGCGUGUGUGAAGAAGGCCUUCGGGUUGUAAAGCACUUUUGUCCGGAAAGAAAUCCUUGGCUCUAAUACAGUCGGGGGAUGACGGUACCGGAAGAAUAAGCGCCGGCUAACUACGUGCCAGCAGCCGCGGUAAUACGUAGGGUGCAAGCGUUAAUCGGAAUUACUGGGCGUAAAGCGUGCGCAGGCGGUUUGCUAAGACCGAUGUGAAAUCCCCGGGCUCAACCUGGGAACUGCAUUGGUGACUGGCAGGCUAGAGUAUGGGCAGAGGGGGGUAGAAUUCCACGUGUAGCAGUGAAAUGCGUAGAGAUGUGGAGGAAUACCGAUGGCGAAGGCAGCCCCCUGGGCCAAUACUGACGCUCAUGCACGAAAGCGUGGGGAGCAAACAGGAUUAGAUACCCUGGUAGUCCACGCCCUAAACGAUGUCAACUAGUUGUUGGGGAUUCAUUUCCUUAGUAACGUAGCUAACGCGUGAAGUUGACCGCCUGGGGAGUACGGUC
rnacentral:rRNA from 1 species